rnacentral:rRNA from 1 species
GACGAAUGCUGGCUGCGUGCUUAACACAUGCAAGUCGAACGGUGAAGGGGAGCUUGCUCCCUGAAGUCAGCGGCGGACGGGUGAGUAACACGUGGGCAACCUGCCUGUAAGACUGGGAUAACUCCGGGAAACCGGGGCUAAUACCGGAUAACUCUUUUCCUCACAUGAGGAAAAGCUGAAAGACGGUUUCGGCUAUCACUUACAGAUGGGCCCGCGGCGCAUUAGCUAGUUGGUGAGGUAACGGCUCACCAAGGCCACGAUGCGUAGCCGACCUGAGAGGGUGAUCGGCCACACUGGGACUGAGACACGGCCCAGACUCCUACGGGAGGCAGCAGUAGGGAAUCUUCCGCAAUGGACGAAAGUCUGACGGAGCAACGCCGCGUGAGUGAUGAAGGUUUUCGGAUCGUAAAACUCUGUUGUCAGGGAAGAACAAGUACCGGAGUAACUGCCGGUACCUUGACGGUACCUGACCAGAAAGCCACGGCUAACUACGUGCCAGCAGCCGCCGUAACAC